rnacentral:misc_RNA from 1 species
UACCUCUUAGGGUUUCCUCUGGGGUAAGUGAUUGCUUCUACACUGUGAAAAUUUGGCUGAGAGACUCAGACUGGUCAUGGGUAGACCUAUCUGGGGUUUGAUCGAUGCCACUCCUGGUUUCAGGAGCACCCUUCAUAAUAAACCUAGAAAUUCAGUAUUAUAAAGUUUAAUAAAAAACAACUUUUAACAAUGGAUCUCUUGGUUCUCGCAUCGAUGAAGAACGUAGCAAAGUGCGAUAACUAGUGUGAAUUGCAUAUUCAGUGAAUCAUCGAGUCUUUGAACGCAGCUUGCACUCUAUGGUUUUUCUAUAGAGUACGCCUGCUUCAGUAUCAUCACAAACCCACACAUAACAUUUGUUUAUGUGGUAAUGGGUCGCAUCGCUGUUUUAUUACAGUGAGCACCUAAAAUGUGUGUGAUUUUCUGUCUGGCUUGCUAGGCAGGAAUAUUACGCUGGUCUCAGGAUCUUUUUCUUUGGUUCGCCCAGGAAGUAAAGUACAAGAGUAUAAUCCAGCAACUUUCAAACUAUGAUCUGAAGUCAGGUGGGAUUACCCGCUGAACUUAAGCAUAUCAAUAAGCGGAGGAA